GGCGGGCAAUGGCUUUUUCUCACGGUGGUCUGAGGGAGCCACUGUGGGCAGUGCCGAGAAUGCCAGUGGCUCUGCUGACCUGGGA